rnacentral:lncRNA from 1 species
UUCCAUGCUCAUGGACAGGUAGGAUCAAUAUUGUGAAAGUGACCAUACUGCCAAAAGCAAUCUAUACAUUCAAUGCAAUUCUCAUCAAAAUAUCACCAUCAUUCUUAACGAAGUUAUAGUCAUCAAAAAUCAGCAUGGUACUGGUAUAAAAACAGGCAUGUAUACCAAUGGAACAGAACAGAAAACCCAGAAAUAAAGCCAAAUACUUAUAGCCAACUGAUCUUUGACAAAGCAAACAAAAACAUCAAGUGAAAAAGGGCAUCUUAUUCCUCAAAUGAUGCUGGGAUAAUUGGCAAGCCACAUUUAAAAGAAUGAAACUGGUUCCUUAUCUAUCUCUCACCUUAUACAAAAAUCAACUUGAGAUGGAUUAAAGACUUACAUCUAGGACCUGAAAUCAUAAAAAUCCUAGAAGAUAACAUUGUAAAAAUCCUACUAGACAUUGCCUUAGGCAAAGGUUUCAUGACCAAGAAUCCAAAAGCAAAUUCAACAGAAACAAAGCUAAACAGAUGGGACUAAACGAAACUAAAAAGCUUCUGCACAGCGAAGGAAAUAAUUGAUAGAGUUAGUGGCCUGAGCAUGUUAGCCCCAGGACACAAAGUUGAGAGUGCUUGACCUCAACAGAGCCUGGUGUAGGUGCACAUGCCCUGGAAACUGCUCCUUCACCAUUUGUUUCUUUGUACUAGGAGAGCAUCCUAAUCAUCAGAACCUCAAUCUCUUCCACUGAUGUGAAGAUAAGACAAAUGUGCAUCUACCUGGACUUUUCUCAGUAUUUCAUCAUGCCACCCUGGAUUUUGAGGGGAAAAAAAACAGUAAAAUAUGGAGCAAAGUAUAGCAAAAAGGGCCAUUUUUACUGCUAUUCUGACUGCUAUUACCAGCAAUAACUAUCAUCUCUAAACUGUUCAACGGUGAGUCCAUACCGAUAAGUGGAAACAUUUUUUAUAAGUGCUGUGUAAUAAUACCUGACAUGUAUAUAGCACUUUUCAUCUGUAAGAAUUCCAUAGCACCACGUGCAGCAUCCUGGCAUCACUUCAUUUACUAAAAAAUAUAACAGCCUCUGGAGUGUAAGGUGGCAACCCUUCCAUACCUGUAACAGUCCACAAUUCUUGGGAUUCUUGGGGAGAAUGCAAGAGGAAGUGUGUGUCCAUCUUCUAACCUUCCAAAGCCUACCUAGUUUAUGCUCCCCUUUCCUAUGUACAACUUGCAGACCCAAAAGAUAAACUCUUCUAUUUCUCUUUCUUCUUCAAUGAGAGGGCUGGUUCUUGAACAACAGUAGGGAUUUGAGAAAUCUUAUUUAAGCGCUGAUGUCUUCUGACUGCUCCUUAUUUAGAGAAAGGUUUGUGUCUUAGUCUGUUUUCAUGUUGCUAAUAGAGACAUACCUGAAACUGGGUAAU